rnacentral:rRNA from 1 species
UACGGAGGGGGCUAGCGUUGUUCGGAAUUACUGGGCGUAAAGCGCGCGUAGGCGGACCUGCAAGUCGGGGGUGAAAGCCCGAGGCUCAACCUCGGAACUGCCUUCGAUACUGCGGGUCUCGAGUCCGGGAGAGGUGAGUGGAAUUCCUAGUGUAGAGGUGAAAUUCGUAGAUAUUAGGAAGAAUACCAGUGGCGAAGGCGGCUCACUGGCCCGGUACUGACGCUGAGGCGCGAAAGCGUGGGGAGCGAACAGG